UCUGUACUGUUUGAGAAGCAGUACGAGUAAGUAGCGCCAAGGUGGAACCUUUGGCAGGUGAGCGGUGACAUCUGGGUUAUUUUAUGGGGGACACUUCCGCCCCCUCCUCAGUCAGAAGCAAUCCAGACGAUCAACCGGAUCCUGUGUAUAAUUAUUGCUGCUGCACUUUUCUGUUUUCUACAGAUCCACAUUGGAACAGACAUUUGGCUGCGAGAAGAGGUGAGGAGAAAAAUUGAUUCCACAACAAAGGACUCGCUCUUUGUGAAGGAGUUGGCUGUAGCCAUAUGGGGUACAGCAGAGUUAAUGGGAAGAAGUGUGUCUGGAAAGGAAUGCCCGAGCAAAACGACCGAAGCAAAGCCUCCCUUAACCCCAUGCAAGCUUGGGACCGUAAAAGAGUGCUUCAGAGGAUGGCUGAUCAAGCAAAACGUGGAGAAGACCAAGAGGGAGAAGUUGGCCGGUUACUUCAUUUCGCAAAAAAUACAGGACCUCUUGAAAAAGGGGAAGAAACAGUUGAAAUAAAAAUCUGAAGGAAUGGGUGUUUGAUGUUUUCCAAUUUGUAUUAAUGUUCAUGUUGUGUGUUAUAAAUGAUGUUCCUGCUUCUAAUCAUUUGAUGUAUGAGUAUUUAUUUACAGACAAUACAUUCUAUACAUUCUGGUAUACCUUUCUGGUAAGGUAGGUGCUCUGAUCUGAAAUGAUAGAUGUUCAUUGAGCUACUGCAAUUGGGUGAGUGUUUCAUCAUCAUAUAUGACCAGCUUAACCACCAUUUAAUCCCAGUUAAAGUUCUACUCAAGAUCAUACCAGUCUGACCAGCUAAUGGGGACUAGCUAGACCACUGUGACUACCAGCUAAACCAGCUAUCCCGACCAGCUAAUGGUGACCAGCUAGACUACUGUGACCACCAGCUUUUACCAGCUAAACCAGCUAUCCCGACCAGCUAAUGGUGACCAGCAAGACCACUGUGACCAAACUAGCUAGACCACUGUGACCAAACCAGCUAAUGGUGACCAGCUAGACUACUGACCACCAGCUUUUACCAGCUAAACCAGCUAUCCCGACCAGCUAAUGGUGACCAGCUAGACCACUGUGACCAAACCAGCUAGACCACUGUGACCAAACCAGCUAAUGGUGACCAGCUAGACUACUGACCACCAGCUUUUACCAGCUAAACCAGCUAUCCCGACCAGCUAAUGGUGACCAGCUAGACCACUGUGACCAAACCAGCUAGACCACUGUGACCAAACCAGCUAUCCUGACCAGCUAGACCACUGUGACCACCAGCUUUUACCAGCUAAACCAGCUAUCCCGACCAGCUAAUGGUGACCAGCUAGACCACUGUGACCAAACCAGCUAUCCUGACCAGCUAAAGUGUCCAAAACCCCUCUAACCAGCUAACUAAUCCAGCCUAAUAUUGUCUGGCUGGUUUACCAGCCAGACCAGCCUUGUUGGUCUAAGCUGGUUUUUUCAGCAGGGUAGCCAAGCUUUCGAGGAGCUAUUCCAGCCACAGGCACCCCGAGUGAGAGGGUUUUUUCCCUGGCAGGCAACACUGUCACCCGAAAGCGGUCAAGCCU